AGAGUUUGAUCCUGGCUCAGGAUGAACGCUAGCGGAGGCCUAACACAUGCAAGCCGAGCGGUAGAAUUUCUUCGGAGAUUUGAGAGCGGCGUACGGGUGCGUAACACGUGUGCAACCUACCUUUAUCUGGGGGAUAGCCUUUCGAAAGGAAGAUUAAUACCCCAUAAUAUAAUGAAUGGCAUCAUUUAUUAUUGAAAACUCCGGUGGAUAGAGAUGGGCACGCGCAAGAUUAGAUAGUUGGUGAGGUAACGGCUCACCAAGUCAAUGAUCUUUAGGGGGGCCUGAGAGGGUGAUCCCCCACACUGGUACUGAGACACGGACCAGACUCCUACGGGAGGCAGCAGUGAGGAAUAUUGGACAAUGGGUGAGAGCCUGAUCCAGCCAUCCCGCGUGAAGGACGACUGCCCUAUGGGUUGUAAACUUCUUUUGUACAGGGAUAAACCAUUCUACGUGUAGAAUGCUGAAGGUACUGUACGAAUAAGCACCGGCUAACUCCGUG
rnacentral:rRNA from 1 species